GAUGAAGAACGCAGCGAAAUGCGAUAAGUAAUGUGAAUUGCAGAAUUCAGUGAAUCAUCGAAUCUUUGAACGCACAUUGCGCCCGCCAGUAUUCUGGCGGGCAUGCCUGUUCGAGCGUCAUUUCAACCAUCAAGCCCCCGGCUUGUGUUGGGGACCUGCGGCUGCCGCAGGCCCUGAAAAGCAGUGGCGGGCUCGCUGUCACACCGAGCGUAGUAGCAUACACCUCGCUCUGGGCGUGCUGCGGGUUCCGGCCGUUAAACCACCUUCAUAACCCAAGGUUGACCUCGGAUCAGGUAGGAAGACCCGCUGAACUUAAGCAUAUCAAUAAGCGGAGGA
rnacentral:misc_RNA from 1 species